GUUAACUCUAUUUCAACCCUGCACGGUGGAAACUAAGCCUAUUGCCUCAAUACAAAUUUUACGUCAGAAACGUUUUCAAAAUAAUUUAGCGUACGUCAUUUAAUCUUAAUCGAGAAUUUGUUUAUCUCAAGUAUAAUUCCAGAUCAUGUAUUAGCUUCUACGUCAUUUUAAGUGACUUUUAGAAGUAAGAACUAUAGAAGUACGAAAGGUGUCAAAAGUAACACAUAUGUACGUCUGUUAGCGUUUUAAAAAUUAAUCAGAUUGUCAUCCACUUAUGUCUUAUACGUCACUUCUUACGACUAACGAAAUUUCAUUUUGACAACCAUAAAGCUAAUCAUUGGGAUGCAACAGAGUAAACAUUAGAAUUCUUGUGUCCCCACUCUAUUCCUACGGAAAUGUUCCAUCGUGCGCAUUCUUGUUUGAUUUGUAAGAGGAAGUUAGAUGUAUCGAAUGAAGCGGGUAGUGAAUUUGAGUUUUUACUUGUUUUUGGUAUUUUAUUAAUAUCAUACACUGAUUUUGAUAAUAGACACGUGUAAAUAGAAAUUUGAUGAAUGUGGUCAUUAACUAAUCAAAAUGUGACGAGUCAUAUGAGUGAUGUAUUGAGAAGCAACUGUAUGUACAAACUAACCUAAAAAUGUUCAAACACUGGCAAGAAAUAUAAAAAAAAAAGAUGUAAACAUACAUUAUUUCUUCAUAUAAUAUAAAAGUACUGUUUCUAUGCGAGCAUACAUUUCUUAAUGAAAACUUUGUACGGUAAUUAAUAUUUUAUUAAAUGUUUAAUUCUUUUGAUUCUUUUAAAUGGUUUUGAUACAAAGUAUAAGACAUGUAAAUACUUAGAUAUAGUCAGUUUCUGGACCAUGCUUGCAAAGAAAGGCUUUGGAGUUAAAUGAAGAAUUAAUGGAAACAAGGAGUUUAAAGCUAGUGAAGGUUGGCUGGAGAAAUGGAAAGCUGGAAGAGGAAUUUGAUCGCUAAGAAUAACCGACGUAAAAUUAUCAGCUGACAGUGAAGCGGGAAAUAAAUGAAAAUAGCUCUAGCUAUUAUUCCAAAAGAUGAACCACUUGCUGGAGAAUAAAUAAUAACUAAAAAUGUGCAAAACACCAGCAAGAAAUAUAAAAAUGAGACCAAAGGAAGAAGCAGUCUGGCACUUGCGAAAUAUACAAGAAACUUCAAUGCCUUUCCACGAACAUCAUAUUUCUAACCAGUCAGUAAACCAAAUGACUUAUCGUCCGUACGUAACUCGUACAACGUACUUUAUUCCAGUGAAAGUUAUCAAAUUUUAUCAAAAUUUAUUUAAUUUGUCGCACAUCUACAUCUAUCAAAUGUUUUUGUCUAUAAGCAAUAAAAAUGUUAAGUUACUCUCAUUUAUAACUAUCUCUAUAAUUAUUGAAUUUACAUACUUACAUAUAAAAAAGUUACAAAAAAUAUAUGUGAACAAUUUUGAUGAGAUGAAACACAAUGAGCUAUAAAUUGAGAUGGCAAUGAGCUAUAAACUAAAAAAGUGGCUACAUAAUUUGAAAAUCGACUGUACAUUCAUUGCAGUGCAAAAUAAUGUCUGAAGAUAAGAUAUACGUCAAUAUUUACAUACAUGCCUUGCCUACUGCAAGUUUAGAAUUAUUUAAUAUCUUGUUUUAAAUACUGCAACAUGGAUUCUUUUGGAUUUACCAGCAUGUGUUUUAAAUGGCUAAUAUUCGAUAGAAUAAUAACUUCUGCAUUGAUACCAAUUAUUAGUAUUUUAGUGCAUAGGUAUAGAUAUUCUAGGGAGGUAAUACAUUUUCCAUGUUCCUAUUGGCACCAAUGAAGAAUUGGCGGAUCAAAAGUAUCAUUCCUAAAAGAAUCGCAACAUCUGUAACUGUAACAAAUGCAUUGUAGAAAUUAUUACGAAGUAAAAUUUUUAUUACUGCCAAUAGGGAGACAAUAAAUUUUUCAAAAUAA